rnacentral:lncRNA from 1 species
UUCCAAUCAGGUUCUCUUUGCUAAGCUUUCUUCUUCCCCUGGACGAGAUAAAGGAGAUUUUAGAAGAUGUCCAAAAAAGAUUUGCUGGAGGAUUUGGACAAAACCCUUCACCAAUACUCAGUGCUUCCCCCCUCCAAAAUGAGGCAAAUAGGACUUGACACCUGCAAAGAUCUGUUUUAAGACAGGUAAUGCAAGGCCUUAGAAACAUGGACUGGCCUCCAGCUGGUUGCAAGAAACAGUCAACUAUUUUUCCAUCAGCUGGAACUAUAGGACUGGUGUCAAAAAUAUAGAAUUAAAAGGAAAAUAUUGACCAAUAUUAAAGACUGCAUCAAGUGCUUUUAAUAUAUUUU